GCCGGGUGCAGUGGCGCGCGCCUGUAAUCCAAGCUGCUGGGAGGCUGAGGCUGGCGGAUCGCUUGAGUUCAGGGGUUCUGGGCUGCAGUGGACUAUGUCGAUCGGGUGUCCGCGCUAAGUUCGGUAUCGAUAUGGUGCUCCUGGGGGAGCUCGGGACCACCAGGUCGUCUAAGGAGGGGUGAACCGGCCCAGGUCGGAGACGGAGCAGGUCAAAGCCCCCGUGCCGAUCAGUAGUGGGGUCGCACCUGUGAAUAGACACUGCAGUGCAGCCUGAGCGAUACAGCGAGACUCAGACUUUU
rnacentral:SRP_RNA from 1 species